ACAGGGAUUGCCCUAGUAACGGCGAGUGAAGCGGCAACAGCUCAAAUUUGAAAUCUGGCGCUUUUAGUGUCCGAGUUGUAAUUUGCAGAGGGCGCUUUGGCGUUGGCAGCGGUCCAAGUUCCUUGGAACAGGUCGUCACAGAGGGUGAGAAUCCCGUACGUGGCCGCGUGUCUUCGCCGUGUAAAGCCCCUUCGACGAGUCGAGUUGUUUGGGAAUGCAGCUCUAAAUGGGAGGUAAAUUUCUUCUAAAGCUAAAUACUGGCCAGAGACCGAUAGCGCACAAGUAGAGUGAUCGAAAGAUGAAAAGCACUUUGGAAAGAGAGUCAAACAGCACGUGAAAUUGUUGAAAGGGAAGCGCUUGCAGCCAGACUUGUCUGCCGUUGCUCAUCCGGGCUUUUGCCCGGUGCACUCUUCGGUAAGCAGGCCAGCAUCAGUUUGGGCGGUAGGAUAAAGGUCUCUGUCACGUACCUCCUUUCGGGGAGGCCUUAUAGGGGAGACGUCAUGCUACCAGCCUGGACUGAGGUCCGCGCAUCUGCUAGGAUGCUGGCGUAAUGGCUGUAAGCGGCCCGUCUG
rnacentral:rRNA from 1 species